ACAUACACGGCAGCAAAAUCACUGGAGUCCAUGGUUUUUGUCACACACACAGAGCACAGAUUUUUUUGAUUAUGUAGAUUUCUUUUCCUACUGCAGUUUCAUAUGCAAAGCAUGCAUCAGCCACAUCCAUGCUAUCUCCUAAAGCAGUCAUUCUGAAACCCAAUCUGGGGACAGUGCAGACUAAAUAAAAUUUCAUUUUGAUUUGGCCUCCCGCUGCGAAUGGGACUGCUUUGUCUCAGCCGACAGAACCAGCAAGCCAGAAAGAUGAGGAAACUGAGCCAUCAAAACUGAGUGACUUGCUUGAGACCAUGCAGCUAUGGAGGGAAAGACCAGGAUCUGAAGCCAACUGGGUCUCCCAAGCCUGAGUCACUGAACCAUUUCACUUCUUGGAAAAACUUAAUAGUCACUGCGGCUCACCUAGACCACGGACAGCAUGGAGUUAAUGAACUUUGAUCAAAAACUUAUGGUGCAUUGACUGAGCAUUUAUUCUUUUAAGACAAUAUAUUUGGAUGUCUUUUGCAUGUACAGAAUUCAAAUUAUUAGUAAUGUCCACAAAAGUUGCCCUAUAUUUUUAUGCUGAAAUACAAUAAAAUGUCAACUUCGUUCCAGUGGCCUUUAUACUGUACACAUUAUGUUUAAUGUCAUUCUGUAUUGUAGCUAAAUUUAUUAUCUAACUUGUUUAUGCCAAUAAGCUGAUGCAUAUGAAAGAUACCUGAAAAAAAUUAUCUUCUCAAAACACUUCAGAAAAAGCCAUAAAAGUAUUAUGAUAAAAUAUCAGAGGAAAAUAUAAAAUUGAGGGGAGGUGAAAUUAUGCUUUGUAGCCCUUGCUCACGAUAUUUGAGAAAGUAAACAUUUCUGUCCUUUAAAUGAUUUCUGAAUUUCUCUAACAAUGCUGCUCUAUUUUCUCAGUCAAUCUUGCUGGAUAGCUCAGUUUUCCUUUGCAGUUUGCAGAGAAUGUGGAGGGAAUAUAGGCCUGUUUUUUCUCUUUCUCACAUAACACUGCCGAAGUCAUCCCUCACCUCCAGAGCUGGCCUUGUCCCUAGAGCCCACAUGUGCUCUGUGGCUCAGAAUGGUCUACAGGACCUUCCAGAUCCAAGCACAGGGUAAAGGUUUGAAGUGUAUAUUUUUAAUUUUUAGUACAUAUUUACUGAGCUCCCAGCGCUGUGCACACAAUUGUUCCCUCCAUGGAGCAUGGUUGAAAAUUCCCAGAGAGAAAAUUCCCUUUCUCGGAACACAGUGUGAGACAGUUCCCUGGCUGAUAGCCCCCCAAGGCAAACUUGAUGACAGGCGCUUUCAAGAUUCUAACAAGAGCCCUGGGCUCUCAUUGCAUGCAUGACAUCAAAAGCACUUUAUUUUCUUACACAAUAGUUCUACUGGGGCUCUCCAGGCUGCAGACAUGGAAUUGGGGCUUACGGGCCAGGAGAUUGAAUAAGGAUACCUGUAGGGACCCACAUGGAGAAAGCGAAGGAGACGAGGCAGGACUAGAAGGGAAAAGGAGGCCUCAACAUAGUCCAGCUGAUCUUGGGGAGUUUUGAUCUUGGGGAGCUCUGGAGAUAAAAGCCUUUCCAUGCAGUCUCCAGUUGAGGCAAGAGGGUCAGGUCUUUAUUCCCCUACACUAAUCAAUGGCUGAUACAGGAUUCCCCAAGAAGAGGCAUGACCUUAAGUCAGGUUGCUCUCUCCAGCCAGGGACGCCUUCGGGAGAGGCUGGCAGCUGAUCUGCUACCACCAUGUCCAGCAGCUGACGAAAGGUGUGUUUUAAGUCCUAAUGAGAUGUGGAGAGCCCAACACAAUAUCCACUGAACUCUCUCUGUCUUAUCUUAAAUCUAGAAUCAUGUGCCAUUUAUAUUAUUAAAUAGAAAGCAAAGAAAUCCAGAGAGCUAACAACUCUCAAAAAAGACAGGAUUUUAGAGGUACCCAAGGUCAGUGCCCCCUAAGGUAGAAAUUACUCCUACAAUGCCCUAGCAGUGAACCAUCUCUUUGCACACCUCCAGAGAUGGGAGUUCAUCACUGGGAACCUCUAGUUGUAAUGUGGUCUUUACUUAUAUCUCCUAGGUGGAAAUUGCACUUUGAUAACAGUGACUAUAUUGACAAAUUACUGUCAGUGCGCUGAAACUAGGAAAGAGUUAGUGUGUUUGUGCAAACUAAUUUGGACCUGGGCCUGAAAUAACAGAGCAGGUCCUUCAACUUAUUUUACAGAUAUUUUCCACUAGUCAGAGUUAUCUUUUUAAGAUAAAAGUCAGAUUAAAUUUCUUUAGACUCUGAGCUCUCCACAAUUGGACAGUAACUCAUACCAGUCACCCUGCCUAUGAGCCUCCCUGGUCUGAAGCCUGAACCUGGGUCAGCCCUCAUCUCACACCCUCCCCUCACCCUUCAGCCCCUUUGCCAUAGCCAUGUGGGCCUUGCUGGUGCUCUGCAGAUGCCCCCACCUCAUUCUGCUACAGGACUUUGCACUUAAUGGGAAGCAUAGCUUGGUGAUCUCCCCUGAGACCUUUGUGAGUUUCUACUCAAAUGCCAAAUUCUCAGAAGAGUUUCCCUGCCACACCCCAUCUCCUGAGUCUCUUAACUCCUCAUGCUGCUUGCUUUCUCUUCACAGCUCUUAUUAAUUUCUAAUAAGGAAGAUAUAUAUGUGUAUGUUUGAGUGUAUGUAUGUUACACAUAUAUGUAUACAUACACACAUAUACAUACAGACAUAUGUGUACAUAUGCAUACAUACACAUAUAUACACAUUCACAUAUAUAUGUAUCUGUCUCUAGUUAACCUUUGAACAACGAAAAGGUUAGGGCCACUAACCCUCCUCAGUCGAAAAGCCACCUACGACUUUUGACUCCCCUGAAAUGUAACUACUCAUAGCCUACUGUUGGCCAGAAGCCUUGCUAAUAACAUAGCCAAUUAACACAUAUUUUGUGUGUUAUAUGUACUAUAUAUUGUAUCUUACAAUAAAUAAAGCUGGAGAAAAAAAUGUUAUUAAGAAAAUCAUAAGGAAGAGAAAAUAGAAUUUACCAUUCAUUAAGUGGAAGUGGAGCAUCAUAAAGGUAUUCAUCCGUCUCCAUGUUGAAUAGGCUGCUGGGGAGGAGGAAGGGGAGGAGUGGAUUUUGCUGUCUUAGGGCACAGAGGUGGAAGAAAUUGUAUCUGUAAGUGGACCUAUGCACUUCAAACCUAUGUUACUCAAGAGACAACUGUGUAAUAAAAAUGUGCAUGUGUGUAUUGAACCACUACCUCUCUAAGCUUCUAGAACAGUUCCUGAUACAUAGCAGCAUUAAAUAAAUAUUUGUUGGGUGAAGUCAUAAAUAAAUGACAUCAAUGAACAAAUAGGUUGCUUAAAAGGUAUGGAUAAUGUAGUUUGUUAGUUACUGAAAUUUUUAAAAAGUGUAUGAGAAUAAAUAUCAGCUAAAAUAAAAUAAUCUAAUGAAUGGAAAUAAACAUGUUUUCAUACUGAGUUACAGUCAAAGAGAAGAGCAUUUUUAUCACAGUUCCUUUCUACACACUUUGACCACUGGGAUCAUGUUUCAUUCUGGUUUUAUUCUCCAAACUCCCAUCACGGUACCUUAAAUUAUUAGGUACCCACUUGAUGUUGGUUGCAUUUAAUGGAUUUAGUCUAUUUAACCUCAUCAUCAAGACAGAAGACCACAGUCCCUGAUGCUGUUAUGAAUGUAGAAGGCCAGCAUGUUCCAAGUGUCAGUAAGUCUUUUUCUAGAUCAUCUUUAAUACUAUUAGACUAGUGUACCAAUUUUCCUCAAAAUGUAUAAGUAGACUUGUGAAAACAACAUUCAAUAUUGCAUUGCUAUUUAAGAGGAUUUGCUAACUUUCAUAGGAAUGAAAGGCCCAUUGAGUGGAGCUCAGAAGCACUAGCCCAUCACGACAUUUUAUGGGUGUACUCUUCUCAGCCCCAUCGUGCCCAGAGGUGUUGCCUUCAUGCUCUACAGGACGACUCAGGACACACUUGGCUGUGGGAGGGAGGCAUGUGGGGAGUCAGGCUGGGUUCCUGUAUUUUAGUUUGGUAAACCAGUCACUCAACCUCCUUAGGAGAAACUGGUAUCAUGUAUCUUGAAGCAAAUAAAUGACUGACUCUGACAUUCCCCUUUUAGGAUAAUCUGUUUCCCUAGAAAUGCUCUCCAGCAUUCUUGCCACCAUGACUUUGGGACACACUGACCAUGAGGAUGAGCUGGUCAGUGAUGGACAGGAGUCCAGAUUAUCUGAGACAUAAUAAUAAGGACACUGAUGUGUAAAUAUUUGAAAUAUCCAAUAGGAAGCAUUCUAACUGUGCAAACAUGAUCCACAUCUCAUGGAGUUCAGGCCAAGGCUGCUAACAGUGACUUUUUGGAAAAGAAAAACAAGGAAGAGGAAAGAACAGAGAAACAAGGAAUGCAGAAGAAAGCAGGAACCACUAAAACAGGAGCAAUAUGCCCUGUGUAUUCUGUUUCCUUGUAAAGCUAUGAAGCAUGUUAAGGAGACACUUCAUUUUUUGAGGAUUCAUGCUCUUGUUUAUAUUAUAAUGAAAACAACCAUGUUCUUUCUAAAAAUUUAGGCAAUGCACUCAUGCACGUAAAAGUAAAACAAAAUCACCUGUAAUCCUACCACACGCAGUUCAGCACUUACUGAUCUUUUCAUAGGGAUUCUAAAAAUAUCCUUUUCUCUAUAGAAUACAGUUAACUUCUGUUACCUAAUGACUAAGUGUUAACCAUUUUUAAAUUCUGCAAUUUUGUAUUUGGCUAGAAAAAAGGAGCAGUCACUCUAUGUGGUAUUUCUGUAUAUUUAUUCAUUCAUUCAAUAAACAUUUUUAAAGUACCUA